rnacentral:rRNA from 1 species
AUUGAACGCUGGGGGCAUGCUUUACACAUGCAAGUCGAACGGCAGCGCGGGGCAACCUGGCGGCGAGUGGCGAACGGGUGAGUAAUACAUCGGAACGUACCCAGAAGUGGGGGAUAACGUAGCGAAAGUUACGCUAAUACCGCAUACGUUCUACGGAAGAAAGUGGGGGACCUUCGGGCCUCAUGCUUUUGGAGCGGCCGAUGUCUGAUUAGCUAGUUGGUGAGGUAAAGGCUCACCAAGGCGACGAUCAGUAGCUGGUCUGUGAGGACGACCAGCCACACUGGGACUGAGACACGGCCCAGACUCCUACGGGAGGCAGCAGUGGGGAAUUUUGGACAAUGGGCGCAAGCCUGAUUCAGCAAUGCCGCGUGAGUGAAGAAGGCCUUCGGGUUGUAAAGCUCUUUUGUCAGGGAAGAAACGGCUGAGGUUAAUACCUUUGGCUAAUGACGGUACCUGAAGAAUAAGCACCAGCUAACUACGUGCCAGCCGCCGCGGUAAAAC